rnacentral:rRNA from 1 species
CCUACGGGGGGCUGCAGUCGAGAAUCAUUCACAAUGGGGGAAACCCUGAUGGUGCGACGCCGCGUGGGGGAAUGAAGGUCUUCGGAUUGUAAACCCCUGUCAUGUGGGAGCAAAUUAAAAAGAUAGUACCACAAGAGGAAGAGACGGCUAACUCUGUGCCAGCAGCCGCGGUAAUACAGAGGUCGCAAGCGUUGUUCGGAAUCACUGGGCGUAAAGCGUGCGUAGGCUGUUUCGUAAGUCGUGUGUGAAAGGUGCGGGCUCAACCCGCGGACGGCACAUGAUACUGCGAGACUAGAGUAAUGGAGGGGGAACCGGAAUUCUCGGUGUAGCAGUGAAAUGCGUAGAUAUCGAGAGGAACACUCGUGGCGAAGGCGGGUUCCUGGACAUUAACUGACGCUGAGGCACGAAGGCGAGGGGAGCGAAAGGGAUUAGAUACCCGAGUAGUC